rnacentral:rRNA from 1 species
UACGUAGGUGACAAGCGUUAUCCGGAAUUACUGGGCGUAAAGGGCGUGCAGGCGGUCUGUUAAGUCUGGCGUGAAAGCUCUCGGCUAAACCGGGAGAGGUCGUUGGAUACUGACGGACUAGAGGACGGUAGAGGCGUGUGGAAUUCCGGGUGUAGUGGUGAAAUGCGUAGAGAUCCGGAGGAACACCAGUGGCGAAGGCGACACGCUGGGCCGUACCUGACGCUAAGACGCGACAGCAUGGGGAGCGAACGGG